AGAGUUUGAUCAUGGCUCAGGAUGAACGCUAGCGGCAGGCUUAAUACAUGCAAGUCGUGGGGCAGCAUGAUUGUAGCAAUACAAUUGAUGGCGACCGGCAAACGGGUGCGGAACACGUACACAACCUUCCUAUAAGUGGGGAAUAGCCCAGAGAAAUUUGGAUUAAUACCCCGUAACAUAACGAUGUGGCAUCACAUUGUUAUUAUAGCUUCGGCGCUUAUUGAUGGGUGUGCGGCUGAUUAGAUAGUUGGCGGGGUAACGGCCCACCAAGUCUACGAUCAGUAGCUGAUGUGAGAGCAUGAUCAGCCACACGGGCACUGAGACACGGGCCCGACUCCUACGGGAGGCAGCAGUAAGGAAUAUUGGUCAAUGGACGCAAGUCUGAACCAGCCAUGCCGCGUGAAGGAUUAAGGUCCUCUGGAUUGUAAACUUCUUUUAUCUGGGACGAAAAAAGGCGAUUCUUCGUCACUUGACGGUACCAGAUGAAUAAGCACCGGCUAACUCCGUGCCAGCAGCCGCGGUAAUACGGAGGGUGCAAGCGUUAUCCGGAUUCACUGGGUUUAAAGGGUGCGUAGGCGGGCAGGUAAGUCAGUGGUGAAAUCCUAGAGCUUAACUCUAGAACUGCCAUUGAUACUAUCUGUCUUGAAUAUUGUGGAGGUAAGCGGAAUAUGUCAUGUAGCGGUGAAAUGCUUAGAUAUGACAUAGAACACCUAUUGCGAAGGCAGCUUACUACGCAUAUAUUGACGCUGAGGCACGAAAGCGUGGGGAUCAAACAGGAUUAGAUACCCUAGUAGUCC
rnacentral:rRNA from 1 species